UGGGGAAUAUUGGACAAUGGGCCACAAGCCUGAUCCAGCAAUUCUGUGUGCACGAUGAAGGUCUUCGGAUUGUAAAGUGCUUUCAGUAGGGAAGAAUAAAUGACGGUACCUACAGAAGAAGCGACGGCUAAAUAUGUGCCAGCAGCCGCGGUAAUACAUAUGUCGCAAGCGUUAUCCGGAUUUAUUGGGCGUAAAGCGCGUCUAGGCGGUUUACUAAGUCUGAUGUGAAAAUGCGGGGCUCAACUCCGUAUUGCGUUGGAAACUGGUAGACUAGAGUACUGGAGAGGUGGGCGGAACUACAAGUGUAGAGGUGGAAUUCGUAGAUAUUUGUAGGAAUGCCGAUGGAGAAGUCAGCUCACUGGACAGAUACUGACGCUAAAGCGCGAAAGCGUGGGGAGCAAACA
rnacentral:rRNA from 1 species